CAUACAGAUGGUCCAGGGAGUUAAGAGUUUGCUGCUGACUCACCCCCGUGCUGUCUCCCCUAAGUGUCUGCGGGGGCGGUGCCGAGGGAAGCAGCUCCAGCUAAGGUCACCAGCCCACGUGAAGCCAGACCUCAGCAGGCAGGACCAAGAUGUAACGCCAGGCAGGUCAGGAAUGAGAUGCGUGGAUGUGUGAGGAGGUCCAAGGUUGACAAGUGCAGGAUGAGCAGGCAGGAAUGACGGUACUAAAACCAGUCUCCAUGGAGGAUGCAAAAAUGAAUGGAACACAAUUAUGUCUUCAACAAGGUUGCAAUCCAAGUGGGAGUUAUGAAACAUUACAAUCAGCUACAAUAAAGGACUUCUGAUUUCCCUUAGAAAAAGAAUGAUUCUCAGUCUUUUUCUCUCUGAGGCACAAAUGAUGGAAGAUAAUCACAUUCAUCAUACACUCCCAUGGGAACUAGCUGCACCUCCUACUCAAGAAAGCGUCAGAGAAUUCAAGUCAGCUUGGGAAGCAUGCGCUAAGGAUAACCUUGAACAUGAAUUAAAUGUUUUAAAGCCAGCCAACUCGAGUAUGAGAUACUCUAAUAUUAGUUACAAAUGACUUGUAGAUAUUCACACAACUAAAUCAUCUCAACGCCUUGCUUGGUUGACAGCUGUGAGCCUAGAUGACGUUCUCACCAGCAAGCGUUACUCCGCGUGGGUUAAGUACACACACGACACACUCCCCCGCCAUCUGUAUGCAUCCACCUUCCCAGUCUUAAGUAGACAUAGACUCUCACAGUUUUUCAUUUUUAUCUCUGUUUUCUAAACUUUCCUGUUUCAAACUCUAUCAACAAUUACCUACAAUGGCAUAGAAUUCGCUCUUUGAUUUUAUCUGUAAAUAUA